AGUUCCGGGUUCCGCUGAUCAGAAGCGGACAAGCAAACAGCGGAUGUGCAGUUCCUCUCUUCGCCGAACCCGGUUUUCCCUUUCGGAGCAGCGCGACCGAUUUCCGGUUUCCCCGCCGCAACCACCGUUACCCCCCCCCCGCCCCAAUCCCCGGCGACUCCAGCGACGUCACCGGUUCAGCUCCUGACCUUUCGGCGAACCGCAGAACCACAGGCGACCCGUUCGACGUCAUCACUCCCCGCCCAGAUGUCGCUGUGACAUCACCCCGCACGUGCCUGCGCUGGCACCGCGUCGUCCUGGCGAGCGCCUCCUCGCGGCGGAAGGAGAUCCUGGGGUUCGCUGUGCGAGACAUGUCGGCGGGGUUUCACGUGAGUGACACUUGGUCCCCACGGGAUUGACAGCGACUAGCGGAGUGGCAUGUGGACGUAGCUUCAGGUGACCUCACUGACCCCGCCCCUGACUCCACCCCUUGUGAUGACCCCACCACUGACCCACAGGCCUUGGAGGGGCUGAUCCUGGAGAAGUCAAAGGACCAGGAGGACGCCAUGGGGGGUGCUGUACAGGCUGAGCAGGAAGCAGAGCAGCACAGCGUCAUCAUGAGGGUAGCCAUCUUCACCUGGGGCAUCCACGGAGGAGGAGCUGAUCCACGACUACUUGGACAACAGCACACCAGCGAAGGAUGGUGGAAGAAAAGUGUUUUGAAACUGACCCUACAGAUAAAAGAGUUCAUCAUGAAUGCGAUACCCUCCUAUACAGUUGUUAGAAGCAACCCUCCAUCUCCAACUCCAAAAAUAAAUGAAAACCAAACCACACAGUUGGAAAUCAGGGGUCUGCAACAACACAAGGAAGCAAGCAACCCGUGAGAAAGCACUGGCAUGGAUGAAAACAGACUCACUGGAAAGAUGCAAAGCAAUGUCAGGUUACACAACAAAAGGCAAUUACAGUCAUAUGAGGGAGUGUUCGAAAAGUUGUAAUUUGAAAACUGUUUUUGGUUGUCCUUUAGUUGGCCUCCUCUGUAAAUUGUGACAGACAUCUCCUGACAACACUUAAAGCAUCUCAAACCAUCCUUGCCCUGAUCUAUGAGUUCUCAGAACAGAAGGACUACUGAGCCAGGCGUGGUAGCACAUGCCUGUGAUCCUACAACUCAGAAGACAGAAGAGGAAUUCUAGGUCAGCCUGGGCUAGACAGACAGCAAGACUCUUGUUUUGUUUUGAAAGGCUGGUGAGGUAGUUCAGCGGGUUAACUGCCUGGUCUAAGCCCAGUGACGUGAGUUUGUGUGCUGUGGAGCUUCUGCAAACCCUGCCCCUGCCAAAUAAAAACUCGUAAUUUAUAACUCACAAAAA
rnacentral:lncRNA from 1 species